UACAGAGGGCUCAAGCGUUGUUCGGAUUCAUUGGGCGUAAAGGGUGCGUAGGCGGUUUGGUAAGUCUCGUGUGAAAUCUCCGGGCUCAACUCGGAGCCUGCACGAGAAACUGCCGGGCUUGAGUGUGGGAGAGGUGAGUGGAAUUCCUGGUGUAGCGGUGAAAUGCGUAGAUAUCAGGAGGAACACCUAUGGCGAAAGCGGCUCACUGGACCAUAACUGACGCUGAGGCACGAAAGCGUGGGGAGCAAACAGG
rnacentral:rRNA from 1 species